GACGAACCGUCCGAACGUUAUUCGGAAUCACUGGGCUUAAAGGGUGCGUAGGCGGCGCGGAAAGUUGGGUGUGAAAUCCCUCGGCUUAACCGAGGAACUGCGCCCAAAACUACCGUGCUCGAGGGAGAUAGAGGUGAGCGGAACUUAGGGUGGAGCGGUGAAAUGCGUUGAUAUCGGCUGGAACUCCGAUGGCGAAGGCAAGGUGCUGGACCCUCUCUGACGCUGAGGCGCGAAAGCCAGGGGAGCGAACGGG
rnacentral:rRNA from 1 species